CCUACGGGAGGCAGCAGUGAGGAAUAUUGGACAAUGGGCGCAAGCCUGAUCCAGCCAUGCCGCGUGCAGGAUGACGGUCCUAUGGAUUGUAAACUGCUUUUAUACAGGAAGAAACACCUCUACGUGUAGAGACUUGACGGUACUGUAAGAAUAAGGAUCGGCUAACUCCGUGCCAGCAGCCGCGGUAAUACGGAGGAUCCAAGCGUUAUCCGGAAUCAUUGGGUUUAAAGGGUCCGUAGGCGGUUUAGUAAGUCAGUGGUGAAAGCCCAUCGCUCAACGGUGGAACGGCCAUUGAUACUGCUAGACUUGAAUUAUUAUGAAGUAACUAGAAUAUGUAGUGUAGCGGUGAAAUGCUUAGAGAUUACAUGGAAUACCAAUUGCGAAGGCAGGUUACUACUAAUUGAUUGACGCUGAUGGACGAAAGCGUGGGUAGCGAACAGGAUUAGAUACCCUGGUAGUCCACGCCGUAAACGAUGGAUACUAGCUAUUGGGGGCAACCUCAGUGGCUAAGCGAAAGUGAUAAGUAUCCCACCUGGGGAGUACGUUCGCAAGAUGAAACUCAAAUGAAUUGACGGCUGAGAGAGCGAGACGACGACGAGGGAGAGG
rnacentral:rRNA from 1 species